GGGAAUCGGUUCCCUUUGGUCGGAUCUACCAAGAAUCAAAUCAGAAUCAAAUGAGGAGACUCUAUACAUCCUGUGGAAGCUGUAGGUACUGCAAGCUCGGCCUCAUUUAAUACGGUUCACCUUUAACAAUGGGUUGAAGUGGCGCAUGGAUAUUUUUUCCCAUCUCCAGUGAUCAGAUUUUCCUGCGCUUUUCGAUGCAACAGACGUUCUGUUAUAGUCACAGCCGUGAUUUAAACAGUUUUGGAAACGUCUGAGUGUUUUCUAUCCACACAUACUAAUCAUAUGCAUAUACUAUAUUCCUGGCCUGAGUAGCAGGAUGCCAAAAUGUUGCGCGAUUUUUAACAGAAUUUCCGAAAAAGUAGGGGGGAGGCUUAACAGGUUUUAAGUUGUCUUGCUUUUCUCAGAGCAGCACAAAACGGUGCUGAAAUAGUUGACCAUACACAGGUAGGCUUUUGCUUCAAAUCCUAUUGUAACAAUUGGAUGACAUUGGGAGUUUCAGUAAGCAACAAUUUGUUGCCUUCAUUAGCCUACUCUAUUCUUAAAAUAACUCCAGCACAUAAAAGAGAAAGGAGCCUUAAUUAAUUAAACAAUAAAGUGAUUUAAUUCAAAAAUGCAUUUGACUGUACUUAAUAUUGGCCAUCAACCAGAAACACACCGUGGUAGAAACAUGUUAUUGAUUAUUAUUUUAUUUUUACUAUUUCAAAAUGCACACAUUUAGUAAGCUACUGUGCAGUCUGACAGGUAAACGUAGCCCACAGUACAUAGUAAACAUAGCCCACAGUACAUAGUAAACAAUGCAAAGAUGCUUCAUUCCUUACAUAAGGGAGAGCAGGCCAUGUCAAGACUUUCUCAGUGACCUCAAGUACUCAUUAACUCUGUCUUGAAUGUUUUUUUCGGGAUGCAUCUGUAUUGGUCACAGACGUUGAAAUUUUGUGCGAUUUUUAACAAAAAGCUGCAAAAAUUCGCAGCCUCCUUAAUUAACAGGUUUUAAUGAUGAACACCUGGAGGUUCACUGGUCAUCCACAUUUGCCUCGGGAUCCAUCCCAGUUGGGGCGGCAUGUAGUCUAGUGGUUAGAGUGUUGGGCCAGUAACCGGAAGGUUGUUGAAUCAAAUCCCUGAGCUGACAAGGUAAAAAUCUGUUGUUCUGUCCCUGAACAAGGCAGUUAACCCACUGUUCCUAGGACAUCAUUGGAAAUAAGAAUUUGUUCUUAAAUGACUUGUCUAGUUAAAAAAAUACAAGUAUCUGUCUCUACAAAUAAUGAGUGAUACUGAUUCACGUGCACCUUCAUCAGAUGAGCAGUAUGGUACUGCUCUGCGUCCCCAUCGAUUGUUGUGUCCUAUGAUAGAAAUGGUAGAUCAAUUAAGAAUUAAAAGUGACUCCAACACACAAAUUCUGCAUAAUGAAACAUGUUUUAAGAAUGUAGCAAAACCAACCGCUUUCAUGGGAACCAUGUGUUUUAUGGGUGUGGCCCGUUGUCCAGUCCUUUGUCCACCGAUCUCCACGGAUGGUUGUCUGCAUGGUCGUAUGCUCUGCAAGAACACAUUCAUGUUUUUAGUACACAAGUAUCGAUUGUAUUACAUAGUAUGCCUACACAUAUAUAUGUUAAGAAUAUAAUUAAACAUUUUCAUUUCUCUUAGAAUAAAAACCUAAUCUAACUGCAGUUUCAGUAAGUAAUAUGCUACUGUCCAGUUACAGCUUCGUCUGACCAAGUGGAAACAAAAAAAUAGGUGUCUUUUUCGGAAGUGUGUGCAGGACAGAGAAAUAGCAAUACCGACAUUAUUGUUUUACAUUCAAUCACCUUCUUCAUCCUCAUCAUUCAGUUCAUUGAAAUCCAAUUUUGAAUGCACAAUUAUCAGUUCAUAUUUGGUUUAUACCACCCAUUCAUUGACAGCAUUAAUUCAGGUAGAGACACAUUAGACCUUGGGACCCAAAAGCAUAAUCAGUGCUCUGACUCCCCCUUGUGGUGGUCUGGAGCAAUGAUGCAGUAACGCAGGGUAACAUACUAAACCACAAAUGACCUCUAAAUCCUGUGGCAUAACCUCAAAACGUUUAAUAGAGGAACUACAGUCACACAGACACAGGACAGUCUAGGGAGAAGACACAGCUACAAGAUGUAUAUUAGAGUUGAGGUUAGAAGAAUACGUUACUGUAGUUGACCACACUCACAUACGCACACACACAUUAAAUAGGUGAGAGUAACCUGUAGUAUCAUACCGUUAUUUGUCCCAAUCCUGGAUGAUACAGUAAAACACAUUAACAAAGAUCUUUAAUCAUUUGUGAUUCAGUACAUGUUCAGUGGUGGAAGAGACCCUCUGGAGUUGCUGCAGUGUGUCUGGGGCUGCUGUGUGUUCUCCUACUGGCUGGGAUCAUAGGCCUGUCUGUCUACUAUGGAGUCAUUGAUCAUUACGACUCAACCGAGAGAGACCAGCUACAGACCAGUUACAACACCCUGACUGAAGAGAGAGACCAGCUACAGGACAGCAACAGCCUUCUGACUAAAGAGAGAGACCAGCUACAGGACAGCACCAGCCUUCUGACUAAAGAGAGAGACCAGCUACAGACCAGUUACAACAACCUGAUUAAAGUUAGAGACCAGCUACAGACAGAGAGAUUUUCUUAGUGGGAGGCUUACCAAUCUCAACAUUUCUCUUCAACCUCAAGAAGAGAGUCUGGAUUGGUCUGACUGACUCUGUUAUUGAGGGGACCUGGAAAUGGGUGGACGGCACCCCACUGACCACAUGGUACUGGUAUUAACCAUGAUAUUGGUCCACUCACACAGACAGCAUCGUGAGGAAGGCGCAGCAGCGCCUCUUCAACCUCAGGAGGCUGAAGAAAUUCGGCUUGUCACCAAAAGCACUCACAAACUUCUACAGAUGCACAAUCGAGAGCAUCCUGGCGGGCUGUAUCACUGCCUGGUAUGGCAACUGCACCGCCCUCAACCGUAAGGCUCUCCAGAGGGUAGUGAGGUCUGCACAACGCAUCACCGGGGGCAAACUACCUGCCCUCCAGGACACCUACACCACCCGAUGUUACAGGAAGGCCAUAAAGAUCAUCAAGGACAACAACCACCCGAGCCACUGCCUGUUCACCCCGCUGUCAUCCAGAAGGCGAGGUCAGUACAGGUGCAUCAAAGCUGGGACCGAGAGACUGAAAAACAGCUUCUAUCUCAAGGCCAUCAGACUGUUAAACAGCCACCACUAACAUUGAGUGGCUACUGCCAACACACUGUCAAUGACACUGACUCUACUCCAGCCACUUUAAUCAUGGGAAUUGAUGGGAAAUUAUGUAAAUAUAUCACUAGCCACUUUAAACAAUGCUACCUUAUAUAAUGUUACUUACCCUACAUUAUUCAUCUCAUAUGCAUACGCAGAUACUGUACUCUAUAUCAUCGACUGCAUCCUUAUGUAAUACAUGUAUCACUAGCCACUUUAACUAUGCCACUUGGUUUACAUACUCAUCUCAUAUGUAUAUACUGUACUCGAUAUCAUCUACUGUAUCUUGCCUAUGCUGCUCUGUACCAUCACUCAUUCAUAUAUCCUUAUGUACAUAUUCUUUAUCCCCUUACACUGUGUAUAAGACAGUAGUUUUUUUGGAAUUGUUAGUUAGAUUACUUGUUCGUUAUUACUGCAUUGUCGGAACUAGAAGCACAAGCAUUUCGCUACACAUCUCGCAUUAACAUCUGCUAACCAUGUGUAUGUGACAAAUAAAAUUUGAUUUGAUUUGAUUUGAAGUACGCUCACUAGUAUGCCAACUUGUUCUAUUUUUGUAUUAGCAUAGCCACAACUACCCGUGUCAUUUUGUUGAUAAUUCCCUAGAGUUAACGCCGACAGCAAUCACACAGACAGAGACAAACAGAUGAUUCAGAGAUAUCAUAAGAAGCAGAGACUUAACGUAUAGAGGGCUUGCAGUUGAUGUACGACGCCUCCUGGUGGCCAUGUUGGAAUACCACCACAUUAAUUAUAGAAGCA
ensembl:lncRNA